GGGGAAUUUUCCGCAAUGGGCGAAAGCCUGACGGAGCAACGCCGCGUGAGGGAAGAAGGCCUCUGGGCUGUAAACCUCUUUUCUCAAGGAAGAAGAUCUGACGGUACUUGAGGAAUAAGCCACGGCUAACUCCGUGCCAGCAGCCGCGGUAAUACGGGAGUGGCAAGCGUUAUCCGGAAUUAUUGGGCGUAAAGCGUCCGCAGGCGGCCUUUCAAGUCUGUUGUUAAAGCGUGGAGCUUAACUCCAUUAAGGCAGUGGAAACUGUUGGGCUUGAGUGUGGUAGGGGCAGAGGA
rnacentral:rRNA from 1 species